AUAUUGGAGGGCAAGUCUGGUGCCAGCAGCCGCGGUAAUUCCAGCUCCAAUAGCGUAUAUUAAAGUUGUUGCGGUUAAAAAGCUCGUAGUUGGAUCUCAGCUCAUGCUAUGUGGUCCACUUAAUGGUGGUUACUACUUAGCUGAGCAUUUUACAGAUUUGUCUCUUGAUGCUCUUCACCGAGUGUCAAGAGUGGUCUGUACGUUUACUUUGAAAAAAUUAGAGUGCUCAAAGCAGGCACUAUGCCCGAAUAAUCUUGCAUGGAAUAAUGGAAUAGGACCUUGGUUCUAUUUUGUUGGUCUCCGGAAUCUGAGGUAAUGAUUAAGAGGGACAGACGGGGGCAUUCGUAUUGCGCCGCUAGAGGUGAAAUUCUUGGACCGGCGCAAGACGAACUACAGCGAAAGCAUUGCCAAGAAUGUUUUCAUUAAUCAAGAACGAAAGUUAGAGGUUCGAAGGCGAUCAGAUACCGCCCUAGUUCUAACCAUAAACGAUGCCAA
rnacentral:rRNA from 1 species